GACGAACCGUCCAAACGUUAUUCGGAAUCACUGGGCUUACAGAGUUCGUAGGCGGUCUGGAAAGUUGGGUGUGAAAUCCUUCGGCCUAACCGAGGAACUGCGCUUGAAACUACCAGACUCGAGGGAGAUAGAGGAAAGCGGAACUGAUGGUGGAGCGGUGAAAUGCGUUGAUAUCAUCAGGAACACCGGUGGCGAAGGCGGCUUUCUGGGUCUUACCUGACGCUGAGGAACGAAAGCCAGGGGAGCGAACGGG
rnacentral:rRNA from 1 species